GUUUGCACUUGUCGGGGAAGGGUGAGAACCUUCGAUUAAGGUUCGACUCGAGCGAAAGCGAGAGAACGUUGCCAACGGCAACGGCCCGUAGGGUGAGGAGCGAAGCGACGAAUAAUCCUUC
rnacentral:sRNA from 1 species